rnacentral:tRNA from 1 species
UCUUGAAACUUUUAUUUAGUGUUUUGAAGACACUAGGAAGACCUGAAGUUUCGAGAG